AAGGACUAUAAGUGAUGAUUUGAGGUAUACAAAUUUCACUAAAACAAUUAUUAUUGGUGGCGAAAUUACGCAAGAAGAGUCUUUCGAUUUUGUUAUUUAUAUUGAGAUAAAAAAAAACUAAUAAUGUUCUUAAUUUGAUUGAUGUGGAUAUUGCUAUGACUACUAAUAGUAAGGAUAUUGUGAUUCUUGAUAAGAUUAAUGAUGUUCCUCAUGCCUUUGUUAUAACCUAAAGAUGUUUGUGAC
rnacentral:lncRNA from 1 species